rnacentral:rRNA from 1 species
CAGCCGCCACGGGAAUACGAAGGGGGCUAGCGUUGCUCGGAAUUACUGGGCGUAAAGGGAGCGUAGGCGGACAUUUAAGUCAGGGGUGAAAUCCCAGAGCUCAACUCUGGAACUGCCUUUGAUACUGGGUGUCUUGAGUGUGAUAGAGGUAUGUGGAACUCCGAGUGUAGAGGUGAAAUUCGUAGAUAUUCGGAAGAACACCAGUGGCGAAGGCGACAUACUGGAUCAUUACUGACGCUGAGGCUCGAAAGCGUGGGGAGCAAACAGGAUUAGAUACCCCGGUAGUCCCUGUCUCUUAUAC